AUGUUGCCAUUGCUGCAUCGUCUCUAAAUGAAAUUUUUAAGAACGAAAGUCUUCUCUAAAGAUUUUAUGUGGGCCAUUUAAAAAAAGGAACAAAGGAUUUAAGUGAUAAAGUGCCUACAUGAGAAGAUGCCGUAAGGUGAAUGUCAUAAGCAUCGUGAUGAAGCGAUAGGCUACUACUGACCUUCUGAUAAUUCAUCAAAAAAAGGAUCAUCUGACUCCACCACAAGGAUGUCUGGGGGUAAAAGAUACCUCUUUGAUCACUUGAGCCACAAAACACAGCCUCAGUUUAGAAUUAAGAUGCACCAGACUUAGCAACAAAUCUUUCACCUGCCUGCUCAGGUCAGCCUCGGACUGGAGGGCCAGACGGUACUUUGAACCUGAAAGAUGCUAGAACCUGUUUUCACUGGAGUGCCUUGAUGAGUCAUCCAGAUGUCCUCAGCUGAGACCCUCACUCCUGGAGUGCUCUGGGCUCGAGGUGAUGGAGGUGGCACCACUUUUCCCCUUUCUCCUGUGGAAAUGGUAUCCACCAGUUGGCAACUAUUCUUCUUAAUAAAAUU